UAGGCUAAAGCCCGCUGGAUAGGGCGUCUAGUUGUUAAUUAGAUGGUUCUGGGAUCAAGGCCCGGUGGCCUAG
rnacentral:tRNA from 1 species